UCCACGCUGUAAACGAUGGGUGCUAGGUGUUGGGGACACUUUGGUCCUCAGUGCCGUAGCUAACGCGUUAAGCACCCCGCCUGGGGAGUACGGCCGCAAGGUUAAAACUCAAAGGAAUUGACGGGGGCCCGCACAAGCGGUGGAGCAUGUGGUUUAAUUCGAUGCAACGCGAAGAACCUUACCUGGGUUUGACAUGCCGGGAACCCUGUGGAAACAUGGGGGUGCCUUCUGCU
rnacentral:rRNA from 1 species